AAGCGGUGGAGCAUGUGGUUUAAUUCGACGCAACGCGAAGAACCUUUACCUGGGUUUGACAUCCCGAUCGCACUUUAUGGAAACAUAGAGGUCAGUUCGGCUGGAUCGGUGACAGGUGCUGCAUGGCUGUCGUCAGCUCGUGUCGUGAGAUGUUGGGUUAAGUCCCGCAACGAGCGCAACCCUUGUCCUUAGUUGCCAUCAUUUGGUUGGGCACUCUAGGGAGACUGCCGGUGUUAAACCGGAGGAAGGUGGGGAUGACGUCAAGUCCUCAUGGCCCUUAUAUCCAGGGCUACACACGUGCUACAAUGGCCGGUACAAAGGGCAGCAAUACCGCAAGGUGGAGCAAAUCCCAUAAAGCCGGUCUCAGUUCGGAUUGGAGUCUGCAACUCGACUCCAUGAAGUUGGAAUCGCUAGUAAUCGCGUAUCAGCAUGACGCGGUGAAUACGUUCCCGGGCCUU
rnacentral:rRNA from 1 species